AAUAUUGCCCAAUGGCGGAAACUCUGAUGCAGCGACGCCGCGUGAGCGAUGAAGGCUUUCGAGUCGUAAAGCCCUGUCCUAGGGGACGAUAAUGACGGUACCCUAGCAGGAAGCCCCGGCUAACUACGUGCCAGCAGCCGCGGUAAUACGUAGGGGGCGAGCGUUGUCCGGAAUUAUUGGGCGUAAAGGGUUCGCAGGUGGCCUUUUAAGUCAGAUGUGAAAGCCCACGGGUCAACCGUGGUAAGCAUUUGAAACUGGAAGGCUUGAGUUAAGGAGAGGAAAGUGGAAUUCCUAGUGUGGCGGUGAAAUGCGUAGAUAUUAGGAGGAAUACCAGUGGCGAAGGCGACUUUCUGGACUUAUACUGACACUGAGGAACGAAAGCGUGGGGAGCAAACA
rnacentral:rRNA from 1 species